UCUGAAGAUCAGCUCUUGUCUGUCACCAGUUUGGAUGCCGUGGUGUUUAUGCGCAUUUUCAUCUUCAGUUUGAAGGUGUUUGGGUUUGGUGGGAUUAUUGGGGUUUUUGUUCUUCUGCCAAUAAAUUUUCUGGGGACCCAGCUGGAGGUGGAUUUUUCGGAUUUGCCCAACAAGUCUUUGGACUCGUUUAGUAUUUCGAAUGUGGAUGAUGGCUCAAACUGGUUAUGGGUUCAUUUUUGUG